GUGUUGUAAAGGACUGUGAUAACAAACAAUGGACAGUGAAUGCUAUUGGUGGGCUUUUUAUUUGACAGUUGAAACUACGAAUCAGUACAGCUUUAGCGUCAUCUGAAAGUAGUUCCGCCAAAGGAAAUAGAAGUGCGUUGCAUCAGAAAGUUUAGUGCGGAGCUAAUGAGUGUUCUCCAAAAGUUUAUUUCAAGUUUGUGCGUGCAGCUAGAAAACCACACAUACUCACAUAUCUACAGUGGAGAAUAAAAAUUGAAGAAGAAACAUCAGAGUCCUUGCAUUCUAACCGGAUGUGCCAUAGUGAUUGCAAACCUUUACUAACCAGCCCCAAAUGAAUACUUCACAACAACUGGACUUCAAGCUACUUGGGCUACGAGCUUCUCCACCCUUCCUCCAGACUCUAGGACCUUGGUUUCCAAAUGAAAUACAAAACUUGCUCUCGUCUGAAAAGAGGACUUUGGACCACUUGGCAACAGUCCAGUUCUUCUUCUCCUUAGCCCAGGUAAGACGUCUCUGACGUUGUCUGUGGUUCAGGAGUGGCUUAACAAGAGAAAUACAACAACUGUAGCCAAAUUCCUUGACACGUCUGUGUGUGGUGGCUCUUGAUGCCUUGACCCCAGCCUCAGUCCAUUCCUUGUGAAGUUCACUCAAAUUCUUGAAUGGAUUUUGCUUGACAAUCCUCAUAAGGCUGUGGUUCUCUCGGUUGGUUGUGCAUCUUUUUCUUCCACACUUUUUCCUUCCACUCAACUUUCUGUUAACAUGCUUGGAUACAGCACUCUGUGAACAGCCAGCUUUUUUUUUGGCAAUGAAUGUUUGUGGCUUACCCUCCUUGUGAAGGGUGUCAGUGAUUGUCUUCUGGACAACUGUCAGACCAGCAGUCUUCCCCAUGAUUGUGUAGCCUAGUGAACCAAACUGAGAGACCAUUUUAAAGGCUCAGGAAACCUUUGCAGGUGUUUUGAGUUGAUCAGCUGAUUGGCAUGUCACCAUAUUCUAAUUUGUUGAGAUUGUGAAUUGGUGGGUUUUUGUUAAAUGUGAGCCAAAAUCAUCACAAUUAAAAGAACCAAAUACUUAAACUA
ensembl:lncRNA